rnacentral:rRNA from 1 species
GACGAACGCUGGCGGCGUGCCUAAUACAUGCAAGUCGAGCGAGCGGAACUAACAGAUUUACUUCGGUAAUGACGUUAGGAAAGCGAGCGGCGGAUGGGUGAGUAACACGUGGGGAACCUGCCCCAUAGUCUGGGAUACCACUUGGAAACAGGUGCUAAUACCGGAUAAGAAAGCAGAUCGCAUGAUCAGCUUUUAAAAGGCGGCGUAAGCUGUCGCUAUGGGAUGGCCCCGCGGUGCAUUAGCUAGUUGGUAAGGUAAAGGCUUACCAAGGCGAUGAUGCAUAGCCGAGUUGAGAGACUGAUCGGCCACAUUGGGACUGAGACGCGGCCCAAACUCCUACGGGAGGCAGCAGUAGGGAAUCUUCCACAAUGGACGCAAGUCUGAUGGAGCAACGCCGCGUGAGUGAAGAAGGUUUUCGGAUCGUAAAGCUCUGUUGUUGGUGAAGAAGGAUAGAGGUAGUAACUGGCCUUUAUUUGACGGUAAUCAACCAGAAAGUCACGGCUAACUACGUGCCAGCAGCCGCGGUAAUACGUAGGUGGCAAGCGUUGUCCGGAUUUAUUGGGCGUAAAGCGAGCGCAGGCGGAAGAAUAAGUCUGAUGUGAAAGCCCUCGGCUUAACCGAGGAACUGCAUCGGAAACUGUUUUUCUUGAGUGCAGAAGAGGAGAGUGGAACUCCAUGUGUAGCGGUGGAAUGCGUAGAUAUAUGGAAGAACACCAGUGGCGA